AGCAUCCAAGUAUGCCGAGAUAGCAAGGACAAAGAAGCGAGAUGACGAGGAAAACGUGAAAGUUAGAUACAAAGUUAAUCAUAUAGAGUUUUCUGGAACCAAAAAGGCAAUCUGCUAUUCAACAUAUGGAUACUACGAGGAUUAAAAAAGAUUGUCAAGAGGCAGAUCUUCAUGCAAACUACACUCGAGUUAUCCGUGCCAUAAUAGAAGUACUGACCGUUAUCCUUAGAGAUAUAGUAUUGCAACACAUCCCGGCAGUUGACGUGGCUUUCCGAAUAAAUUCUGUAAAGCACAGACUGCCAAAUGUAUCUGCUGA